rnacentral:rRNA from 1 species
UACGUAGGGUGGAAGCGUUAAUCGGGAUUACUGGGCGUAAAGCGUGCGAAGGCGGUUUUCCAAGACAGAUGUGAAAUCCCCGGGCUCAACCUGGGAAUGGCAUUUGUGACUGGAAGGCUAGAGUGUGUCAGAGGGGGGUAGAAUUCCACGUGUAGCAGUGAAAUGCGUAGAGAUGUGGAGGAAUACCGAUGGCGAAGGCAGCCCCCUGGGAUAACACUGACGCUCAUGCACGAAAGCGUGGGGAGCAAACAGG